rnacentral:rRNA from 1 species
CCCUUAGAUGAUUUGGGCUGCACGCGCGCUACACUGACCCUAACAAUGAGCAACUGUCUGGCCUGAGAUGGCUGGGUAGCCUUUUCAACCCAUGUCAUGAUUGGGCUAGAUUUUUGUAAGUCUUGAUCUCUAACGAGGAAUCCCUAGUAUGCUUGAAUCAUCAAUCCAUGCAGAUUAUGUCCCUGCCCUUUGUACACACCGCCCGUCGCUCCUACUGAUUGGGUGAUCCGGUGAGCUGUUCGGCCAUAGCAAUGUUUCUUGAGCAGGGCAAUGAAUGUUUCGCAAACCUUGCCACUUAGAGGAAGGAGAAGUCGUAACA